rnacentral:rRNA from 1 species
AAAUUGAAGAGUUUGAUCAUGGCUCAGAUUGAACGCUGGCGGCAGGCCUAACACAUGCAAGUCGAACGGUAACAGGAAGCAGCUUGCUGCUUUGCUGACGAGUGGCGGACGGGUGAGUAAUGUCUGGGGAACUGCCUGAUGGAGGGGGAUAACUACUGGAAACGGUGGCUAAUACCGCAUAAUGUCGCAAGACCAAAGAGGGGGAUCUUCGGGCCUCUUGCCAUCAGAUGUGCCCAGAUGGGAUUAGCUUGUUGGUGAGGUAACGGCUCACCAAGGCGACGAUCCCUAGCUGGUCUGAGAGGAUGACCAGCCACACUGGAACUGAGACACGGUCCAGACUCCUACGGGAGGCAGCAGUGGGGAAUAUUGCACAAUGGGCGCAAGCCUGAUGCAGCCAUGCCGCGUGUAUGAAGAAGGCCUUCGGGUUGUAAAGUACUUUCAGCGGGGAGGAAGGUGUUGUGGUUAAUAACC